UGGUUAGUACUUGGAUGGGAGACCGCCUGGGAAUACAA
rnacentral:rRNA from 1 species